GGAGCUUCUUCUUCUUCCCAAGCUUAGGUUUCAAGACUAGAUGGUAAAGAAGAAGACCUAGCUUGAGGUUGGAGAUGGAAGAAUUCUUGAGGUUGAAGCUUGAGUGGCCGGGCCCUUGUGGCUCAGCUACGUGUCGUUUCGG